UUUUGAAGGAAAUGUUAUUUAAAAAUUUUGCAAGCAGAAUGGAAAAGAGUUAUCCGUUUGCUAGAUUUUUUAAGUCGAAUGCAUCUAUUUACAAAUGAACUUAUUGAGGAAGAGCACCGCUAGUGGCUCCAGGAGCAAUAACCUAAAACAUGGUGAGAAUAGUGUAAUAAUAAACAUAGAAAAAUUAGUCAACAUAAACAUACCUCGUUUGCUCCGCGUUGAUCCUUGAUUUGUUUUUCAUACUCAGUAAGUUGGGCCUCCUCCUCCAAAGACAUCAUAAAUGGAACUCCAAGAAGCAAGGCAGAAGUAGAAAUUACCCACAUUGAUUUUCCACCAAACUGUGCAAGCUUAGAAAGACCAGUGGUCGCGGUCUUGGCGCCGUCAGCAAUUUUGACACGCCAUGUGACAGGCACAAUCUCUUUGAGCGCAGCAAUUCGGUCAAUGAUGGUUUCCUCCUCGAGACCUUCAAAAUCUGAUUCAUCAGAAUCAGAUUCCUCUACAUCUUCUUGCGCAUAAAUGUAUUGAUCCUUCUCUAUAACGGUUUGUUGUUCGUUUUGGACUUCUGUCUCAUCAACGACUUCCUCAAGCUUUACCAUUUUGGAAUAUAAAAAUAACUAUAAUAUCAGGUUAUCGACCUACAAAAAAAAUCGAAUAUAGCAAGUUCGUGCUUUCUCGAAGUGGAUUGCAGGUUACGAUGAGUGUACCAUAGAGAGUGAUUGCAUCUUUCAAUCUCGUUGGCCAAUUUAAAGCAUUCUCUGCUUUACCUACUAACACUUCAAAAUUUUAAGUGGGAUUGAAAUACUUAUGUGGGGGUCUUUUGUUUAUUAUUAACUUUCAAAGGCCUAUGUGGGGAAUUUUUUUAAAACUACUAAGUAGUACUACCUCCUGGUGGGGGUUCGAGGUCGAUUAACAACUCACUCUUGAUCAUAUGUGUUUUAUCAAAUUCAUUACUCAAUUCUAAAAUUAAUAUUAAUUUUGAUUAAUAAACCUCAAAUCAAUUGUAAAUAGAAAAAAAAUUGUUUGUAAUGUUCACUUUUUUUGUUUGUGAUUUUUAUUACUGCUUAAAGCUUUCUGAAUGCUAACCCUCAGUUGAUUUGAAUAUAGGGAUACGCCCGAGCACGGUAGUUUUUUACUAUUGACAAGUAAACGUACUGUAAUAACAGCAAUAACUGAACUUAAUAACAUAGGUUCACUAGAGCUUUCUUGUAUAAUAGUUCAAUCAAUAAUUUGUAGGUCUUAAAAUGCGUUCAUGGAUGCGCUAGCGAUAUAAGCUUACCAAAGUGUGGAAUAAAGAAUACAGUGACGAAUGAAGCUACUAAAUAGUG